UAGUAGACUAAAUGUUUCGUCCGUGCAGAAUGGCACUUUUUACCUCACGAAAUUCACCACCAUGCAUAGCUGCGCUACGUAAACAAAGUUGUUGAUGUAGCGUGAUCGUGAUGUCCGAGUGCUGCGAGUUUCAAUACUGUUUAUGUAAUCAUUGAGAGUUUAAACAAAGUUUCUUCUGAGAAGAGGAAUUCGAUGGAUGCAUUCAACGUGGACAACGAAAUCAUAAUUUCGUUUGCAUCAUCCUAAGGACCAGAGCAAGUUGAAAUGGGCUUCCAGCCAACAACUUCAACAGCAAUUUGCCAUGAAAAUCAGCAAGAAAGGUACUUCAUUUACAUUGAUGAUGGCAUAUCCCCUGGACCCCACAACUUUACAGGUUACAUAGAAAAUUCAAGAACUUCUGCAAAAUGUGGGACUUGGAUAGAAUCAAUAAUGUAUUUGUGAGCCCAGAGCAAUGGCUAUAUUGUGCAACAUACUAAAGUGUGAAUUUAAUGGAAAACAAGCACAUGUACUCAUGUAUUACAUGUCUUUUUUAAAGACAAUAAUAUUGUAUAAAUAUAGAGGAAGUGUCAUUGUUGAUUAUUCUAAGUUUUUGAUAUAUCAAAAUCAGUAAACAUUUCUAAAUGAAAAUAAAAUACCAAUUUUAUAACUUUAAUCAAUGCGUUUGAAUUUCUCAUUUUCUACCCCACCCCCCUUACACACACACAGUGCAUAUAUACUGUGAAUGCAAUAUGCAUGCAUUCUAAGUUAUCCAAGCGAGUUUUUGUUUCAGUGUGAGACUACAAGUAGGAUUCAUAAACUUAUGAAGAGACAUAUAUAUUUGUGAGA